rnacentral:piRNA from 1 species
UACUAAUGGCAAUUCCUCAGGAUCUGGAGA